AGUGUCAUUAGCCGUUACAAGGUAGAUCUUCAAAACGGCUUCUGACGGCUAAUCACAAUCA
rnacentral:pre_miRNA from 1 species